rnacentral:rRNA from 1 species
UACGUAUGGUGCAAGCGUUAUCCGGAUUUACUGGGCGUAAAGGGAGCGCAGGCGGCGCGCCAAGUCUGAUGUGAAACCCCGGGACUCAACCCCGGGCAUGCAUUGGAAACUGGCGGGCUGGAGUGCCGGAGAGGUAAGCGGAAUUCCUAGUGUAGCGGUGAAAUGCGUAGAUAUUAGGAGGAACACCAGUGGCGAAGGCGGCUUACUGGACGGCAACUGACGCUGAGGCUCGAAAGCGUGGGGAGCAAACAGG